ACAGCCACACGGAGUCAUCUGGCCUCUACAGAAAGAUCCAUACGAAGAUAGGCACAGAUUAGGGACUUGGAGGUGCUAGCUGGCAAGCAACUUCGACAACUGAUUUGUUCCUCCUUCUUCAAGUACCUUGGACACUCCAAAGUAAGAGAGAAUUAAGAGGAAGAAUAAAGGAGGAGGAGAAGAGGCUCAAAAAUAAAAACCAGUAAGGGAUAGAUCAUGGGAUGCCUAAGACAAAGGACCCUUUUUAUAGACCAGGAAUUAAGAUU
rnacentral:lncRNA from 1 species